rnacentral:pre_miRNA from 1 species
UUAGAAUAGGGGAGCUUAACUUAAUCUGAACACUCAAGCUAAGAGCCUCGAUUCUUCGA